CAAGCUCUCACUCUCUGAAUGCCAAAAGAGCAGGCCAUCGAUACCUCCCAGCAGAGGCUGGAUCAAAGAAUCUUCUUUGCAGCAUCCUUUGACAAGUGUCUUAACACAGAGACCUUGGGAGGGAAAAUGACAGUCACUCAGGAAAAGGUUAUCAACUCAGUGCUAUCCUGGCCAUGCUGACAUCCACCAAUAUUUUCUCUCUCCUUCCCUACGAACAAAUGUAUAUAUUCAAACAGAUUAAAGUUUGCUGUAAAUUCCAGCCACCAAGCAGCUGCUGCCUACAAGUAGUGGAAAAAUAUUACUAAGUAAUAUCUGCAAGCGUUCCCAAUGGACCUAGGGAGCUACAGGCUCAGCACUGAUUUAUCCCCAAAAGAGUUUCAGAGCUUCACCUGAUCUACCUGGUUUGUCAGUGCAAGCUACCUGGUAGCUUCAGAGACAAAGAGGCGCACACCAGGCAUCCCCAGGAUCCUGUUUUAUUUCAUUUAUAAGGACACCUGGCAUGCAUGUGGCUUCAGCAGACGCUACUGAUGUACAGGCACCUUCACUUGGAUGGGCACUGAGUGCACGCACAUCUGUUCCAGGUCUGCACAAACUACAGCCCUGUGAAGAACAAGGGUUGUCAGGAGAUAUGUUUCUGUUCUUUUAUUGUUUGGACAACUGGAAGGCUUUCGUUUGUGUGCUAAACUGCUCCCAUAUGUGCUAAUACACACGAGGGAUUGAUUAUUCUUGACCCCCGAAUCCUUUUAUCAUAAUAAAACACGUCUGGAAGAUGAGAAAACCAAAAAAAAAUCCCCCGAUGGUCUGAGCAAAAGUCAGCUCCCUCCCCCCGUCACAUAUUUUUUGCUAAACAUCAUUUUCAACCAGUUGUAGCUUUGCUCAGGAAAUUCAUGCUUGGGCAAGGUACAAGUUAAAACUUACCUCCCUCUUUGCAGGAUUUGCACAAUGUUUUUACUUGUGGCAGCUGGCCGCAGCCUGGCUGAUUCCAAGGAACUCAGCCUCUGGAGAGCCGUAUUUUGUGAGCUAUCGGCAUGUGCUUGGCAUGCCCACGUUUGCUCGGUAAGAAAAAUGUAGGUGGAUAACCAGGAUUGUUUCCGUAUCUGUCUAAAAUAAUUGAACUGUAAGUUGCAAAUGUAAAUCGCAGAUUUAAUCCCUUUUUUUUUAUUAUUAUUAGUCUCAUUUCAAAUGUCAGUGUUAUUUACAUAACAGGAUAGAAACAUAAGGAAAGCGAGGAGGUGGGUAAGCAAUGAAUGAUUUAUUAGAGGUUCCAUUUGGUGCUCUGGUCCAAAACAAACGAGGCACGGCAUAUGGCUAACUUAAUUUUUGUUUGUAUGUAAUAAAAGAUGGACGCUAA